GAGGGCCGGGGCUGCAACAGCGUAGCUCGGGGAGCCGGGUCAGGGUGCGGGACGAGGCCGGGACACCGCCCACUGCUGAGGCGGAGGAGCCGCAGUCGCCGCGGCCCAUUGCCCGCGCGGCGCGGCUGGCGGUUAACUAAUGUUCCGAGGCGCCCGACUAAACCCUCAAAAGCCAGGGAGCGUCACGGCUAACACUCGCGUCUCGGGCGGCAGACAAAUGCGUCCCAGCGGAACCGCCGGGAGCUCCGCGCCGCCGCGCCCCGCGGUGUGGGACUGAGCGAGCCGGCAGCCAGCGCGGGGCGGCCAGGCGCCGGCACAACCUUUGCCCUACAGUUCAGCUGCUUAAAAGCCUCCAGGCUCCCAAACUUUUGCUGUAAUUCCGGACCUCAACUCUGUCCUCUACGCCUGAAUCGUCCAGGAUCUCCGGCCACCGCCCCCUCCGGCGGACGUGGAGCCGCUCUCGGCCGCACCUCUCAGCCUCACGCCCCGUGUCCUGAGCCCCUCGCCCACCCGCUUGCAGGAAGCAAACCAGGAAGUCGGGGCUGCCGCUGCCGCAGCUCCACGUGGCUGAUUUAUAGCCGAGAAGAUUUUUUUUUUUACUAUUUAUUGUUCUUGCUUUUUCACACGGCUCCUUAAGGAGGCGGAUUUGUAACUGAAAGGCCCAGGAUUUCCACACAACAUUUGAAGUAAUGUGCUCAUGAAGAACACAGUUCCAGAAAUGCGGACUGGAUUUCGGUUUUCUAAAACAUGCUCACAACGCAGAGCACCUGGACGAGAGGCUGUGCAGAGUUGAAUACAAAUCACUGUCUGACUCAGCAUUUUUUUUCAUCUACUUAAUUAAAAUUCAGUUACUUGAAGAACAAGAUGAGGGAGACUUCACUCAUGACCAUUUUUGGGUUAUAAAAGACCUGGAACAUGUAAUUAACAAAGAAUGAAUCCGCUGAGUAAUAAUAAGAUGCUAACAGAGCUAAUGCCCCAUUCCUGGGUGAUGAUUUAGAUCAAUGUUGGGAUCCAGGAAUUUCCUGUUAAUAAUUAUACAAACACUGGCAAGAAGGGAGCUGGAGGAGGGGCACAUAGAAAGACUCAGGUAACUUUGAAGGUAGGCCUGGGCUUUUUAUGGGCCUUCAGAAGUGAGGUAUACCCCCUCUGCAAAAUAGACCACUGCUAGGCAGAGGUUUGGCAUGGAACAGGUGAUCUGCAAGGGAUCUUAAGCGGAUCACAUGAAAGAGCAAUCUCAUUUUAAAUCAGGAGCUGAAGUGGACCUGAAUAAUUAAACCUUUCAUUUGUGCUCUU